UGGCGACGCGAAAGAGAAAUCGAGUAGGGCCCUGGGGAGAGUACACGCGCAAGCGAGAAAUUUAAAGGAAAUUGACGGAAGAACACCACAAGGAGUGGAGUGUGCGGCUUAAUUUGACUCAACGCGGGACAACUUACCGGGCCCGACGACCGUAAGAGUGUGACACACGAUAGGUCGAAGAGUGGUGCAUGGCCGUUAACGACGAGUGGAGUGAUCUUUGGGUUAAGUCCGUAAAUUAGUGAGACCUCAGCCGUAAGGGACAGGUGCGCAAAGCACAGGAAGGAUGGGUCAAGGACAGGUCAGUGAUGCCCUUAGAUGGUCCGGGCUGCACGCGCACUACAGUGGUCGCCGAAAUUAGCUGAUAAUUUUAAAGGCGAUCGAGAGGGAAUGAGCUUUGUAAGAGGCUCAGGAACGAGGAAUUGCUAGUAAUCGCGGACUCAUUAAGACGCGAUGAAUACGUCCCUGUUCUUUGUACACACCGCCCGUCGUUAUCGAAGAUGAAGACAGGCGCGAACGAUCUACCAGAAAGUGAGCGCAGGUCUUUAGAUCUGAUACAAGUCGUAACAAGGUAGCUGUAGGUGAACCUGUAGCUGG
rnacentral:rRNA from 1 species